rnacentral:rRNA from 1 species
GAUGAACGCUGGCGGCGUGCCUAACACAUGCAAGUCGAACGGAGUUAAACGCUGAAUUGAUGGUAGCUUGCUAUUGGUAUUUUCUUGUUUAACUUAGUGGCGGACGGGUGAGUAACACGUGAGCAACCUGCCUUUCAGAGGGGGAUAACGGCUGGAAACGGUCGCUAAUACCGCAUGACAUAUUCGAGUGGCAUCACUUGGAUAUCAAAGGAGCAAUCCGCUAGAAAGAUCGGGCCCCGCGUCUGAUUAGAUAGUUGGUGGGUAAC